UACGUAGGGCGCAAGCGUUGUCCGGAAUUAUUGGGCGUAAAGAGCUCGUAGGCGGCCUGUCGCGUCUGCUGUGAAAUCCCGGGGCUUAACCCCGGGCGUGCAGUGGAUACGGGCUGGCUGGAGGCAGGCAGGGGAGAAUGGAAUUCCCGGUGUAGCGGUGAAAUGCGCAGAUAUCGGGAGGAACACCGGUGGCGAAGGCGGUUCUCUGGGCCUGUUCUGACGCUGAGGAGCGAAAGCAUGGGGAGCGAACAGG
rnacentral:rRNA from 1 species